rnacentral:pre_miRNA from 1 species
UCACCUCGCAGACUGUCUCGCCCCCAGGCUGGGCUGGGCUGGGCGAGUAUCUCGAGUAUCUCUUCGAAAGGCUCACCCUCAAGUUCGACUAGGAGC